UACAGAGGGUGCGAGCGUUGUUCGGAAUUAUUGGGCGUAAAGGGCGCGUAGGCGGUGCGGUAAGUCACCUGUGAAAUCUCCUGGCUCAACUGGGAGUCUGCAGGCGAAACUGCCGUGCUGGAGUGUGGGAGAGGUGAGUGGAAUUCCCGGUGUAGCGGUGAAAUGCGUAGAUAUCAGGAGGAACACCUGCGGUGUAGACAGCUUUCUGGACCAUUGUUGACGCUGAGACACGAAAGCGUGGGUAGCAAACAGG
rnacentral:rRNA from 1 species